rnacentral:rRNA from 1 species
AUUGAACGCUGGCGGCAGGCCUAACACAUGCAAGUCGAGCGGAGCUGCGGACGGGUGAGUAAUGACUAGGAAUCUGCCUGGUAGUGGGGGAUAACGUCCGGACACGGGCGCGAAUACCGCAUACUAUCAGAUGAGCCUAGGCCGUAUUAGCUAGUUGGUGGGGCAAAGGCCUACCAAGGCGACGAACCGUAACUGGUCUGAGAGGCUGAUCAGUCACACUGGAACUGAGACACGGGCCAGACUCCUACGGGAGGCAGCAGUGGGGAAUAUUGGACAAUGGGCGAAAGCCUGAUGCAGCCAUGCCGCGUGUGUGAAGAAGGUCUUCGGAUUGUAAAGCACUGUAAUUUGGGAGGCGUUACCAACAGAAUAAGCACCGGCUAACGUCGUGCCAGCAGCCGCGGUAAUAC